GUUGCAGUCUGAGUAUCAUUGAGCUAAAUAGUUAUUAUCAGUGUCUUUUCCAUUUAAAAUAACAUCUCUGAAUGUCAGAGGCAUGGUUUUGACAGAUUUUUUUUUUUUGGUUCAGUCAAAGAAAAGAGAAAUACUCUGAGCUCUGAACUUAUUCAAGGAUAUCUGGAAGUAGCUGGCUUGCCAAGGAUAUGUGAAAUUGAUAAAGAAUGCAGCCCAAAUGCAGCGGUGUGAGGUUAAUCACCCAUCUGAAUUACACAGAAGGACUAUGCAGUGUUGUAGCUGUGCUGGUCUCAGGAUAUUAGAGACAAGGUUGUUUCUAAUCCCAUGAACCAUCCACCAGCCAUGCAUUGAGGUGAAGGACUUCAAGAUUGGCGUGAAGGAUCUUCCUGGGAAAGAAAUUGAAGGGCAGUUCAGAAGGAGCGGAGGGCUGUUUCCCCAUGCAGCACAACAGAACAGAACAGAGCAUAAGAAAAGUAACACUCAUGCACAGGCUGAACAGACACUACUGUGUGAAAUCUCUGAUCGAAGGCACACGGGGUGCAAGGGCACCUAGAGUGGAGCACCCACAGGGACACUACUCAAAGAAGAACCUGACUUAUCCUCCUGGAGAACCUCAAGGUUCCAGAGGAUCCAUUUUUCCUGCUUAAUGCCUGAGCAUUGUUCUGUGAAAAAUGACAGCCUAGUCCAGAAGCAAGUGCAUGAAUUUGCACAUUAUUGUAACUUUCCACUUAUAUGUAAUAAUAUUACAACCCUUGGCUACCAUAAACUUAUUGUACUAAAUUGACUAUUCCCAGUUAAAUAUCUCGUUAGGAGACCAACCAUGCUGCACAUUAGUUUGAUGUGGAAAAAAAUGUGAAUUGGACUCCUAUAUUGAAUGAAGAUGUGAGUGGUACCAUAAGUGUUUCCUGCUAAGUUUCUGAAUAAUAAUUGAAGGCAUGAGUGCUAGAGUGAGGACUAGUUUGAGUAACAUUGGAAAAAUGCAGGGUAGGGGAGAGACUGAGAGCACAUGGGAGAGGCAACAAAGCUGGGUUAUUGGGCUGGCUUCCUAGUCUAAUGUCAGUGCAGAGAGGGUGUAAGUUUAGAUAGGUGAGGUGCCCUGCUGCUCAGACCAGCAGGAGCUGGAGUGCUGUGGAGGUAAGCUGCUUAACCUCUACCAGAUAGAAAGUAGCAGUGUGCUCACAGCACUAAAUAUAAAAGGUCCCACCUGUGCUCCUCUUUCUCUCUAAAGAGCUAGUGAUGGGGGAUGGGGAGAAGAUGUAGCAUUCAAGCCGUGGUGCUGAGAGGCAUUCUCCCUAAGCAGAGCAGAUGCAGGCAGAAUAGAAUCACAGUGAUGAGAGGAGCAUGUUGUACAGCUCUUGCUACAACUGCGUUUGGAAGAAGCAGUUUGAAUCUAGACCUGCAGGAGGUGGUGGGACCCUGCCCAAGCUGACUGGCCAUGCUCCCGUGGGCUGUGGAUGCCAUUUAGCACACUACAUGGUCUCACAACCUAGCAUUCAAGCGAUCGAGAAAGCUGAGUUGUUUUAACUCCCAGUGUUUUGCUGAUGCUGCUGUAUAUUUAACUGUUUCAAGGAGGUGUUUGCAUACUUUGCUGAUCAAGACGUAAAUUGUGCUGAAUCAGUUGCAUACUGUAAUCCUUGAAUUCAUUCUGUGUAGGCUUUUCUCCUCAGGGUUUAAAGUCUUGUGUAUUUUGCUGAGAUGGCUGUUUGGGCCAGCAGGCAUAUUUUAGUUAACUUGUCAUAGUGCACACUCUUCUGUAAUCAGGUCUAUUCACCGCUGAGCCAGUUGCUGAGUUUACACUCAAUGCAAUUUCAGGUGUCUAUUAUUCAUUUAUAAAAUACAUUUUUUAAGAAAAAAAGCAAAUGGACUUGGAAUACUUACUGCCUGCUAGGGAUGAGCAAGACUGGAAGUAGGUUUAGAUUUUUUAAAACCAAAACUCAGGUCUUAUCCAUCUCAGCUUCGAGACUCAUUUUAUUGGAAACUGUAUUGUUUGGGGUCAGGAAGACAGCAAUAUAAAAGACUCCAGUUUUGGCUAGAGAUUGGGUUGAACUAACACUUUUGUCUUAACCUUUGAGGAUCUCUGAAAUCCAAGCCCAAAUCUGGAUCAGGAUUUUCAAAUGGCUUUAUUUUUAUAAUAGACCCCCACCAAAUCCCUGGAUUCAAACUUUCCCAAGCUUUGAGAGAUUUACAAUUCAGAUCUGAAUUUUGUAGCUUGAGCUUGUGUCUAGUUUUGGCCUCUUUCUUUAUUUG